AAAGAGAUGACAGAAAAUGUAUUUGGCUUGAAACCAAAAGAUGAAGGUUUAAACCCUUCUCUCUUUU
rnacentral:tRNA from 1 species